AUUGAACGCUGGCGGCAGGCCUAACACAUGCAAGUCGAACGUGUGGCGGACGGGUGAGUAAUUUCUGGAAACCUGCGCGAUGGAGGGUUAUAAGUACUGGAAACGUUAGCAAAUACCGCCUACGUUCGGUGGUUCCCAGAUGGGGUUAGCUGGUAGUUGGGGUAAUGGCUCACCUUGGGGACGAUCCCUACCUGGUCUGAGAGGAUGACCAGCCACCCUGGAACGGAGACACGGUCCAGACUCCUACGGGAGGCAGCAGUGGGGCAUAUUGCACAAUGGGCGGAAGCCUGAUGCAGCAAUGCCGCGUGUAUGAAGAAGGCCUUCGGGUUGUAAAGUACUUUCAGCGGGGAGGCGUUACCCGCAGAAGAAGCACCGGCUAACUCCGUGCCAGCCGCCGCGGUAAUUC
rnacentral:rRNA from 1 species